GGCAGCUUGGGACCUCACACAGUUCUCCCAGCAUCUCUUCCACUGUUAAUAACAAAAUUCUUUGUUGGAAUAUCCAUCAGCUGCCUCAUCAUAUUUACCUGAAUAUCUCUUCCCUUUCAAAAGGGAUUUUAGUUCUGAAAAAAGCCAGAAGUCAAAGGGCACCAAAUAUGGGCUGUAGGGGGGGCUGAGUCACCUGGGUGAUUUGAU